UGGGGAAUCUUCCGCAAUGGACGAAAGUCUGACGGAGCAACGCCGCGUGGGUGACGAAGGUUUUCGGAUCGUAAAACCCUGUCAAGAAGGAAGAAAAAAGACGGUACUUCUGAAGGAAGCCCCGGCUAACUACGUGCCAGCAGCCGCGGUAGUACGGAGGGUCCGAGCGUUAUCCGGAUUUAUUGGGUUUAAAGGGAGCGUAGGCGGAUUGAUAAGUCAGUUGUGAAAGUUUGCGGCUCAACCGUAAAAUUGCAGUUGAUACUGUCAGUCUUGAGUACAGUAGAGGUAAGCGGAACUCGUGGUGUAGCGGUGAAAUGCGUAGAUAUCGAGAGGAACACUCGUGGCGAAGGCGGGUUUCUGGACAUUAGCUGACGCUGAGGUACGAAGGCCAGGGUAGCGAAAG
rnacentral:rRNA from 1 species